GGAGGGUKCAAGCGUUAAUCGGAAUUACUGGGCGUAAAGCGCACSCMGGCGGUUGGAUAAGUUAGAUGUGAAAGCCCCGGGCUCAACCUGGGAAUUGCAUUUAAAACUGUCCAGCUAGAGUCUUGUAGAGGGGGGUAGAAUUCCAGGUGUAGCGGUGAAAUGCGUAGAGAUCUGGAGGAAUACCGGUGGCGAAGGCGGCCCCCUGGACAAAGACUGACGCUCAGGUGCGAAAGCGUGGGGAGCAAACAGGAUUAGAUGCCCUGGUAGUCCACGCCGUAAACGAUGUCGAUUUGGAGGCUGUGUCCUUGAGACGUGGCUUCCGGAGCUAACGCGUUAAAUCGACCGCCUGGGGAGUACGGCCGCAAGGUUA
rnacentral:rRNA from 1 species